rnacentral:rRNA from 1 species
UACAGAGGUCCCAAGCGUUGUUCGGAUUCACUGGGCGUAAAGGGUGCGUAGGUGGGUAGGAAAGUCAGUGGUGAAAUCUUCGGGCUUAACCCGGAAACUGCCAUUGAUACUAUUUAUCUUGAAUACUUUGGAGGUAAGCGGAAUAUGUCAUGUAGCGGUGAAAUGCUUAGAUAUGACAUAGAACACCAAUUGCGAAGGCAGCUUACUACACAGUUAUUGACACUGAGGCACGAAAAGCGUGGGGGAUCAAAACAGG